rnacentral:rRNA from 1 species
CGCAAGCCUGACGGAGCAACGCCGCGUGAGGGAGGAAGGCCUGUGGGUUGUAAACCUCUUUUCUCAGGGAAGAAGAUCUGACGGUACCUGAGGAAUCAGCAUCGGCUAACUCCGUGCCAGCAGCCGCGGUAAGACGGAGGAUGCAAGCGUUAUCCGGAAUUAUUGGGCGUAAAGCGUCCGUAGGCGGCUAAUCAAGUCUGCUGUCAAAGCCCACAGCUCAACUGUGGAGAGGCAGUGGAAACUGAAUAGCUAGAGUGUGGUAGGGGCAGAGGGAAUUCCUGGUGUAGCGGUGAAAUGCGUAGAUAUCAGGAAGAACACCAGUGGCGAAGGCGCUCUGCUGGGCCAUAACUGACGCUGAUGGACGAAAGCUAGGGGAGCG